AUGUUGGUUUAAAUCCCUCCUUUAUCAA
rnacentral:tRNA from 1 species